CCAAUAGCGUAUAUUAAAGUUGUUGCAGUUAAAAAGCUCGUAGUUGAACUUCGGGGUUCACCCAUUGGUCAGGCUUAAUUGUCUGUACUGGUGAGAUGAGUCUCUACCUUCUGAGGAACUUUCAUGCCAUUUAUUUGGUGUGAUGGGAAAUCAGGACUGUUACUUUGAAAAAAUUAGAGUGUUUAAAGCAGGCUAACGUC
rnacentral:rRNA from 1 species